rnacentral:rRNA from 1 species
AAUGAACGUUGGCGGCGUGGAUUAGGCAUGCGAGUCGAGCGAGAACCGUAGCAAUACGGGGACAGCGGCGAAAGGGACAGUAACAGGUAGAUUAUCUGCCCUCAGGUUUGGGAUAGCUGCGGGAAACUGCAAGUAAUACCACAUAAUAUCUCCGGAUCAAAGGUGUGAUUCCGCCUGAGGAUGAGUCUGCCUCCUAUUAGCUUGUUGGUGGGGUAACGGCCUACCAAGGCAUUGAUGGGUAGCGGGUGUGAGAGCACGACCCGCGUCAUUGGGACUGAGACACUGCCCAGACACCUACGGGUGGCUGCAGUCGAGAAUCUUCGGCAAUGGACGCAAGUCUGACCGAGCGACGCCGCGUGUGGGAUGAAGGCCUUCGGGUUGUAAACCACUGUCAGAGGGGAUGAAAUGCAGGUGGGUACUCCCAUUUGUUUGACAUAGCCUCAGAGGAAGUACGGGCUAAGUUCGUGCCAGCCGCCGCGGUAACAG